UGGCAUCAUAUAUCUCUAUUCCCUUUGCUAGUUUUUGUUUCUCCAAAGCUUCUCUCCUUUUCCUCUCUUCCUCCUCCAAAUAUCCUCUUGCUUUGGAGCAUCCAAGGCAUUUGAAGAAGAAGAAAGAAAUCAGCCUCUAAGUUCUUUGCAAGCUAGCACUUCCAAAGAUCUUGAUCUGCAUCGAUCUUCGUGUGGACUUUCUGUAGAGGCCAAACGACUUCGUGUGGCUGCGAGCAAUCUGAAGGAGAGCCUCUCUAAGCAUUGGACUAGAAGAGAUCAAGAGACUUUAAUUUUGUAAUGGUUUCUAAACUUUUCUCGAUCAUGUAUGUUAGAUCUAAUGGUUAGAUCUUCAUGGCAGCAUCGAUUAGAUCGACGUAAGUUUUUAUGUUCAGAUC
rnacentral:lncRNA from 1 species